UUAACAUGUGCGCGAGUCAUUGGGUGUUACGAAACCCAAAGGCGAAGUGAAGGUAAAGGUUCGGCUUGUCCGGACUGAGGUGAGAUCCUGUUGUCUUGCUCAUACUUUCCAAGUUGCGAGCAGCAGGCGCAUCACCGGCCCGUCCCAUGACGUAGACAUGUGACCUCGUGUUAUGUGCACCCUCGGGGCGGAGCAAGAGCGUACACGUUGAGACCCGAAAGAUGGUAAACUAUGCUUGUGAAGGUUGAAGCCAGAGGAAGCUCUGAUGGAGGACCGUAGCGAUUCUGACGUGCAAAUCGAUCGCAUAACGUGAGUAUAGGGGUGAAAGACUAAUCGAAUUAUCUAGAAGCAGG
rnacentral:ncRNA from 1 species